rnacentral:rRNA from 1 species
UACGGGGGGGGCAAGCGUUGUUCGGAAUUACUGGGCGUAAAGGGCUCGUAGGCGGCCAACUAAGUCAGACGUGAAAUCCCUCGGCUUAACCGGGGAACUGCGUCUGAUACUGGAUGGCUUGAGUUCGGGAGAGGGAUGCGGAAUUCCCGGUGUAGUGGUGAAAUGCGUAGAUAUCGGGAGGAACACCAGUGGCGAAGGCGACUACCUGGCCUGUUCUUGACGCUGAGGCGCGAAAGCUAGGGGAGCAAACGGG